CACAGCCGAUCAUACACCAUGCAAGCACACGUUGAGACUAGAUUAAAAAUGUGAGCCUCAUUUUUAAUUUUAUCUGAGAAAAACGGAAAACAGCUGACCUUCCAUGCUUACAUUGGUAUGGGAAGCAGAAAGCCUUGUCUGUAUUCUCUAUUCUCCCAAAGUGCCGGGGAUAGGAGAUAGUUACCUAUUUACAAAAUAACACUCAUCUUCGCUUCUGGCUUGUAUCUCUAAUUUUCCCCCCAUGUGUGGCUAAGUUGAUCUGCCCACCUGAAGAAAACAAACGAGGGCCUUUCAAAGCUGUGGGGCUGGGGUGGGGGUGGGGGUUAGCCUCAGAGUCAAGUUGUCCUGUGGACGCUAACCUCCACCCCCCGACAUCUGAUGUGUUUCUUAUACCACAGGGCGUGCUGUGAGAGGGCAUGGGGAAGAAGGCGUUAUGUGUAUCUUACGGAUAUAAUUACAUGCAGACCAUCUGCAUCUCACUGCGGGAAGAAUCCUCUUUUCCACUCAAAAUAGAUUUAUUUUGGUGAGGAUGGGUGUUUUGCCUGCAGGUAUAUCCAUCUCUCCACCACGUGCAUACCCGAUGCCCAUGGAGGCCAGAAGAGAGUUCAGACCCUUUCGAUGUUAGUUACAGACAGUGCGACCCGCCUUGUGGGUGCUGGGAACUGAACCUGGGUGCUCUGGAAGAUGGUCCGGCUCUCUUCACCGCGGAGCCAUCUCUCCAGCCUCCUCUUUUCCCAUCUUGAAAUUAAUGUAAAGGGCCUGGGAAAGGCUCGAUCACUAAGCACUUGCUGUGUGAGCAUAAGGAGCUAGUUUGGAUCCCUAGUAUCCAUAAGAUAGUGGGUACGCGGCAGGGUGCUCCUGUCACCCCAGGACUGUAGGGAGUGGUGAGCUAGUGUAGCUGACCAGUGAGUACCAGGUUCAGUGAGACCCUGUCUCAAAAAAGAAGGUGGACAACCACUGAAGGAAAUAUAUGGCUUUGACCUUUCAUCUCCUCAUGUAUGUCCUGCACAUAAGCAUGUCAUGCACAUAAGGCACAUGACAGCAUCACAGCAAAAAUUUUAAUGAAGUAGAAAUGUUGAUACCAUGAUAAUAAAAGCCAACCAAAGUCAAACUGUGUUCAGAUACAGGUGUUUUCAACCUUUCUCUGUCUGUCUCACACACAUGCACGUGCACACAGAUGGACACAGCUGUGUGCAUUCAUCACUCAGGUAAUUCGACUGAAGGUAACAUUUACAGGGCAACGGUCAUCAUUGUGAUUGCCCAGGAAUCCUCAGUCGUGUGUCCAAAUGCUGUUAGCAACAGUCCGGGCAACAUAACCAUUUGUUUAUUUAUUUUCCCCGGAGGAAAUAUGCAAUUCUGCAAUUUGAGAUGUCAGGGGGAUGAAAAUGCAGAGAGACACUGUCAUUAUAAAAGGUAACUUAGGACUUUGGUCUAUAUCCAAGGUGAAAUGGUAUCCCACGAAACAUUUAAUUUGCCAUCGUGUGCUACAGGGAAGGGGUCAGACAGAACAAUGCUUGCACACUUAGGGUAGUGUGCUAAAAGGAGCCAUCAAGCUCACCCGAUCCAUAAAUGUGCCUUAUUUAAGGAUAUAUAGGAGUGAACUAUAAUCUACAAAGCCACAUUAUAAACAUCUAGAAUACACUGUCCCGUUACUGAAGUAUCGGUGUGCAGCUCGCCCUACAAUGAGUGGGGACAAUUAUGUAGAUCCAGGGUUCAACUUCAAGUUUAUCUUGUCCUUCUUUACUUCCCUGCAGACUAAUAGAUGAUCAUGGUCCCUGAAGAAGUUGGACAUCAAGUCUCCCUGGAUUGUACCAAUGUCCCACAUUACAACUAAGAGAAACUUAGGUCCUCUUAACUCAUACAAAGGAAUCUUAACAACUUUCCUCUUUCUAAGCAGUAUUUUCAUGGCCUACACUAGGAUGUAUGACUUUCAUGAAGACAGAUCAAGCAAGUGUCCAACAUCGUGCACAUAGCUUUUCUGUGUUAUUGUUCUGUUUUCUGAGACAGGGUUUCUCUGUGUAUCUAUGGAUGUCCUGAAACUUGCUCCGUAGACCACGCUGGCCUCAAACUCACAGAGAUCCACUUGCCUCUGCCUCCCAAAUGUUGGGAUUAAAGGCGUGUUCCCCACCAACUGGAGACACGUUUUAACAGGUUGCUGCUGACACAGACUGCCUUGAGCUUGCUUACACCCUGUUAUUUAUUCUGGUGAUUCUAACCAGGCCCGUUAACAUGGAAUCAUCACUCUUUUUAAUUUCCUCCCUUCAAGAAUUUGAACCUGCAUUUCACUGGAGAAAGGGACGGCAGGAGAGUGGACAAUGGCAUCUUCAGAGACACAGCAAGAAUAGUAACUAAAUUCAGUCAGGGAAGUGGACUUCAGGGGGCUCUUGGGGAAGCUUUCUGAGGGGGCUUCAGGGACUGUAGGGAAAAAAAUUCACAGCAUUGGAAGGGAAGUGGCUGAAUCUGGUAAGCCCCCCACUCCCUCCAUAAAGCUAUUGCAGAGAGAGCAGUCUUCAUUAGGGCUCAGACACUUACUGAAGGGGUAAGCUGCUGGUUCCAGGAUCCUCAACACACUCGUGUGUGUGUGUGUGUGUGUGUGUGUGUGUGUGUGUGUGUUGUUGUUGUUGUUAUUGUUGUUGUUGUUGUAAGAAACAGAGUUAAUGCAUCUCUGUCUCUCUGGCUGAUUGUGCUUAGCAAUUAUCCCAUCCUUGUGGGCACAAUGGGCUCCUGCAGGCCCCAACAGGGAUACUUUGGCUUUUCUUCUGUAAAACCACAGCACAACUGUGAAAAAUGGGAAGCUAGGUAACGGCCUGCAAAGAUUCUGGUCCUAAUGUAAACCCAGGAAGGCAGCGUUUGCAGGUAUGAUUGAAUUAAGGAUGCUACUUUGAGGGCAGUGCGAUGGUUCACAGGGUUAGGACACUUGCUGUCAAGAUACCUCAUCAUGCAAACAUUAAAAACAAAAAACAACAACAACAACAAAAAAAACCAAAAACAAAACCCUGGAAAUUUUCUUGACCUAUCAGUUGAUCCCUUCUCAAAAUUAAUUCCCCAUUUCCUUUUAAAUUUAUGUGCCCCAAGGACUCAGUUACAGCUGUAAGUGCUUGUGUACGUAUUAAUGUAUUAUCUGUUCAACCUUGUCUUUCUUCACCAUUUGUAGAUAAGCCAGAAACACAAUGCUACACUACCCUCAUAAGAUAAUGAACUCAUUUUAAAUUGCACCUGCUGAUACUACACGGUCAAUGAGAUGCUGUCAAUACUGAAGUGUUACAACUUCAUUUGAUUAUUUACUUGAAGCUCACAGCAGUUUUAUCACAACUAACUAUGAAAACAUGGAAAUAGCCAAGAUGUCCUCCAGUAGGUAAUGGCUACGUCAACUGAGGGACGUCCAGAAGGAUCAGAACAUAACUGUCACGGCUGACAACACUCCUAACAACAACUGUGGACUUGGAUGAUGAUGAGUCCUUGUGUUAAUGCACCUUCAUCAGUUGUCACACGUGUACCAUACCAGGGAAGACAAUGCACACGUGUGGAGGUGGAACGAACACGUGACAUUUCUCUACCUUUGUUCCACCCAGAGAACCCUAAUAAUACUCUCGCCUCUCAACUCUAGUAAAAAGAAGUGUACUUGUCAUCCAAAUGCAUUUGUGGGGACUGUUGUUACAAUAGUUUAAUUUUAUGUGUCUGCACACUGGCGAUCAUUAAUUAAAUCAGAACACAAGGUCAGGGGAGGUGGCCUAGGUUAAAGGACUUGUUGUACAGGCAGCAUGCCUGAGGCUCUGAAUUUAGAGUCUCAAAAUCUAUGCAAAUGCCAGGUGGGUGUGGUGGCCUGCCUGCAAUUCUGCUUAGAAGGCUAGAGGGGGGCUGUCCAGAGCAAGCUGGCUCGUUAGACUAGCUAUAAUGUCAAGCUAUGUGUUGGGUCUAAUGCCCGUGCUUCAAUGAGUAAGACAGGCAGAAAAAGAGGAAGACUUUCAGCUCAACCUUGGGCCUCCGCAGGAUAACAAAUGUAUUUACACCUGCUCCAACACGCAACCCACACAUUUUUAGGAAUGCUCGAGUGUGUGCACGUGUGCGCGCGCGCGCGCGCGCGCACACACACACACACACGCCAGGGACAAACACAUGAAAGAAAAUAUAAUCGGAACGAAAAUAUUAAGAAGCAAAAAAAAUCACUUCCACCGCUUACACCUAUCUACCGCCUCAAAACCUAAAAGGAAAACAGAACUAAAACUAACCAGACAAAGUGCACAUUCCAAAAUCCAAACAACAACAGAGCCCAGUAGGGUCUGGAGUAUCCGCCAAGUGUGAAACACUGAGAUUAGCCCAGAAAAGCAAGUCCCCGUGGUACAGAAACCGUAUCUCCACAGCUGCUAGCUGCUGAAACGACACUGGUGCCUGCCCAUUUCGGAACUGCUACACUUUUAUUUAGCCACUUCCUCAGAAUGCCUAAGCUGCAUGAACAGCUGCUGGGUUAAAAAAAAAAAAAGGGAGCGGAUUUGGAGGCUUCAAAUGGAAGCAUUUCCUUCCCACCCCAGAGGUGACUUUCUCUAGAACACGAAGAUUUAGUUAGGAAAUUAGUAAACACCAAAUAGACGCAGCCCAUGGGGGGUUACAGGGACCUUUUCCCGUUUAUCUCGGCUAUCUAAACCAAGUAGGGGAAUAGUUGCCAGGAGGUGGUGGGAAGGGGAAUCCUUCAGUUUAUUUUAGGAACAAAGGAAACAGACAGCACAGAGCAUAUUUCCGAGAGACUGACUCACCCUGCGUUCUGUGUGCACACGUGAGAGGUUCCCUACCUGCCACCAUAAAGGGCAGAGCAGAAUGGGGGGGUCUGUGAUACUGAAGACAAACCUCCUGACAUUAAAAUUUCCUCACUCAGAAAUCGGGACACGCUGGAAAACAAGCAUUGAAUAUACGAGAAAGGUACUUCGCAAAGACUAGGUGAUACGAAUCAUCGUUGAAUGUGACGGAGCGUGUGGAUGGUCGACUCUCACAGCAGAACUGGGGUGUCACCGGGCCAGGCCACCUCUUAACAACAGGGACGUGGAAGAAUGAUGGCUGCGCUUGUACAUGGGGACAUCGUCUUACUGUUAAAAGGGGAAAUUCAUUACUUCCCAACUAAAAGACCUGUAUCCUUACAGCACAAAGACAGCUAGGAUGGUACAUUAAUUACACCAGCACUGAACUGGCUGGGAAGAGAAAUCAAUUCUAACGUUAUGUUCAUGGAAAAAUUGUACUAGACACAAUGACCCUCCAGUCAGGAAACAAUGCAGAGACUUGGGAGGUGGGCAGAUGGCUCCGUGGAUAAGGUGUUUGCUGCAUGAACAUUAGGACCUGGGUUUGGAUACCCGGUGGCCCAGCCAUGCACAUAAAAACAGCAUCAUACAUGUAACCCCAGAGCUGGGCUGGUGGUGUAUGUCAAGACAGGCAGAUGGAUCCCCAGGGCUCACGGACUAGCCAGCCAUUACAGGAAUGGUAAGCUCCAGGUUCGAUGAAGAAGCCUAUGCAUGUGCGCACGCGCGCGCGCACACACACACACACACACACACACACACACACACACACCCACACCCACACACACCAUGUUACUAAUAUUCCCAAAGUGAAAAAAAUAUCAAUCCACUUACUGUACAUGCACGGUAGUCAUCGAUCAAAUUUGCCCAAUUAACAGUCUUUUUCCUUGUACUGUUGCAUGUUUCUCUGAACUAUUAAUCUUGUUUCCUGGUCCUUAAGCAACUUAAUAUUAUCAAUGAAAAAACCAGAAAAUGACUUUGAAGGAAAAUAUUACUUUAGGUCCAUCCUAUAUCAAAGGCGCUUUGAGCUCCCAGUAAGCUAAAGUCAUAAAAAGAAACAAAAAACUAACAGUUGACAGUGUGUGUGUGUGUGUGUGUGUGUGUGUGUGUGUGUGUGCGCGCGCGCGUGUGUGUGCAUGCGCACCACCCCCAGGGAGAGGGAUCUCUCCAGACAUUUGAACAGCAAAGUGAAAUGGGAAGACACAGGCCAGUGUUGACAGCAGGAGACUAAGGGCUGGGUUGGCUUGCCUGAGGAGGAGGAGCUUUAAGUCAUCUGGAUUCUGGAGCAAACAUUCGGUUGAAUUUUGUGCGCUUUUAUGUUGAAGCCCAUUGACACUUGUGAACCUGAUGCUCAAAUCUCUAUUCUUUAAGGGUGUGGAUGGGGCACCUCUUGUGGAUGCCUUGGGUGUGGUUGGUUUGUUCGCUCGGCUUUUCCCACCUGAGGGUUAUGGCUAACUAGUGGCCACAUCACUCCCUCAUGUAGCCUCUCACACUGGUCAUGCCCUGCCUUGCUGUUUGUUGUUUUAGAGACAGGAUCUCAUGGUGUAGCCCAGGAUAUUCUCCUGCUUUAGCCUCCGGGGUGCUGUGACUACAGGUGUGUACCACUCUACCAGGCAAGAUGGCUUCUUUCUCAGCGAGCAAAAAUGUUCAAAAGGGUGUGAUUGGCAGGACAGAGAAAAGAAAUGGGAAAACCAACUAUGUUUUUAUCUUGACCACUACUAACAAUUAUUGGCAAAUGUUUACCAUAUCCAUGGUUUUGGCGAAUGUUUACCAUAUUCACGGGGGACCUCCCAUUUCUUUAUUACUUCCUAACAAUUAUCAGUGGCUAAUCUCUUUUUGCUUAGUUUCAUCCCAUUGUUCUUCAGUAUUAGAAUCUGACAGAUCAGUUGUAUUUUUUUUAUUAAAUAUGAAAUAUAAAGACCGGUUGACAUUUUCCUUCUCAGGCAAAUGUGCUAGCCUAAGCGUUGGGUAUUCAGUAAAUGAUGUUCUGGGGGAAUCAGCCACCCUCGGUCAUGAUUAGAACAUAGGAAACAGCCAGUGGACAUGUGGUUAGACAAUUGUGGGUUCUGAGGCUGCAUCUAUGGUGGUGAGGGAUUAGUAUACCUCAAGCUAGUAGACUUUAAUAUACAAAUUCCGCCCACCAACUUCCACUCCUCGCUCAUUCCCACCCUUUCCAGCCUCCUUGCCGUCAGGCAGGCCAUAUCACUAACCGUGGCUAGUGGAUGAGAGGUAGGCACCAACAAAUAUCGGCUCAAAUCUCAGUUUGGAGAUCCUAGGUUCCUGCUGUGGUCCCAUAACCAAUGUGACCUGUGCUAGAAUUUCUUAAGUGAUAAACACCUCAUCCAUUAAGCCACUUAGAUUUAGGGUACCCCAGUACACCUUUUUCAGAGAGUGGUCCUCACAGUGGCUUUCUCAUUGGACAUCUCUGGGGCUAGGGAGAGCAUGCUGUUCUCCUAGAGGACCUGAAUUCAGCUUCCAUCACCCAUGUUGGGUGGCUCACAACUGACUCUAACUCAAGCUCUGGGGCUUGGGGGGCAGGGGUUUGAUAACCCUUUUCUGGCCUGUGGGGGCACACAUAUAUACAAAUCCACAAAGACACACAGAUAUAGAGAUAGAUACACACACACACGCACACACACACAAAUAUACACAAAAUAAAACAAAACAACUGCAUGCCACCUUCGCGAGCAAAUGACACAGAACAAAAAUUGGCCACCUGCACGAACAUCUGCAUGCUAUCAAAGAGAACCCCGGCCAUUGCUUUCUUCCAUAGCCCAUUUGCUUCAAGUCUCAUUUGGGAGAAGAUAAUUUCCCCCUAAACUGCUGAAAGCACAGUAGGAGUUCCUUUCGGAGCUGUCCUUUCUCUAGCAUUUUACCCUGUAUGGAUGCUAUUUUCAAGAGCGACAAGAAGAACGAGGGUUUCGGAUGCUCGCCCAGCUCCCGUUGGCUACUGUUGCGUCUAUACACCGGAGCGACUGCCAAGACACGGUAUUAGAACUAUUUCCUGUUUGCCAGAGGCAGGCUUUCAUCACUGGUGGCAGUGCGUGGUGCAGAGGCUCCGAAGUGUCAUCUGCGUUGUUAUUUCCCGUGAGUGACGUCAGGUGGAACAAUGGUUACCCAUCUAUUUAUACUGUCCUGUCAGACAGUGAACGUGGAUCUACUUUCACAAUAAAUACUUCAUGCUAAUAAGAUCAGCAAAAACCAAAAAAAAAAAAAAAAAAAAAAAAGUUGUGUGUUUUGCUCUCUUAUUAAACUUUCUGAUUCCUAAACCCUAAGAUACAUGGUUGGGAUAAUAGUCAAUUCCUUCAUCUGCUCGUUCGUUCGCUUACGUAAACAAAUCGUACAUUUAAUAACGCCUGUGUUGUGCCAAGCAUGCACAGGCUCUGAAUAUACAGAGUUUAAUGGCAAUUCGCAGGCUGAUAAAAAAAUGGAUUACAUGUCUCCUUGGAUAGUCGGUAGUUGUGGUCUUAACAGUAAAAAUAGACGGAUUUUUAACUACAUUACUUGAUUCAAUAUUGGGAGCUUAGUGGAUAAGGAAUAAAAUUCCUGAAGGCUAAGGCACUUAAUUUUACUAUGGAGAGAGUGAGUGUUAAUCUUACACCAAGCCAGUAGUACAAGUUAACUGGAAGUGUAAUUUGACAAUGCCAACAGUUGUGUAAAGUACAAACAAGAAGGUAUCGUUUCACACUCUAGUACCCUAUGCAGACUCUACAGGGCACGUUCUCUUCUCCAGGCACUCAAGUAAAUACUUGGUGGUGAUGAGGUGCCAAGUGGAGGCUUCCUUCCCCUCACUGCUGAAGCAUUUCUUGCUUCUCUUGCUGGGCCUGGCAGCAGCUACGAUAGCUGGAGGAAUGGGCCCCUGAGCAUGUGUGGGGAUUCAUUUUACACCUCAAGAGGCACACUAGCCACAGGCCGUGUGCAGGACUGUGGCUUAUAGCUACAUUCUCAAAGUACAAAGUAACAGUUCUGAGGCCAGGGAUGGCGGUACAAACCUCUAGUUCCAGCCACUUGGGAGGAUGAGUCUGGAAGGUGGUGAAUUGGGAACCAGCUUGGGAGCAUUACAAAGCAACAGUCUGACCUAGUCCCACCUUCAAUUACAACAGACAGAUUUUGGGGGCAGGGGAGUUGGUCCAGUAUGUAGACACCUGCUGCUAAGCCUCACGAAAGCGGGUUGGAUCCCUGGGUCUGACCUGGUAGCAGGCGAACUUACUCCUCCAAGUUGUCCUCUGACUGCCACACGCACACAAUGACAAGGUGUCAAUGCAGCACCUCCUCCCAGUAUUAAAAGCAAAGCAAAGCAAACCACUUCCGCUAUUCGGACACGUGGGGUAGCUAUCCAUCAUAAGGGUUUUGGAAACAGUAUCAAGGAAUCCCCGGCUUUCACUGGGCAAAUAGCAAACUGAAGCUGGCAGUUGUCAACACAUUACAGGAUAUAGUUAAUUCGUUCACUUUUACGUCUUUGCAUGCAACAAAAUUCUGUCUGAAAAUACUACGAAAUUCCAUUUAGAUUCUCGAUUGUUUCUGGGCCAGCCUUUCCAGAAGCAGACACUCGUUUCCAUAGAUUAUUCCCGUAUCUGACCUGUAUCUGACAGCAGGUUUCUUCUACUAGGGGACCAUCCACAGGACUAGCAUUUCUAUUUGACAUGAAACCACAACAAUAAAAUAAUGAUAAAAUAGUAAUAAUUAUAAAAUUAAUGACAACAAUGAUGAUAAUGAUGAUGAUGAUGAUGAUGAUGAUGAUGAUGAUGAUAAUAAUAAUAAUAAUAAUAAUAAUAAUAAUAAUAAUGUACUGUGUGGGCUCCCAGCAGCCUUUCUCUUCACUGGUUUGUGGCUCUAUUUUUGUUCUUACAGGUUCAGGCUACCUGGACUCAUAUCAUUCUGCACAAUGAGCCUUGAACUAGAUAAUGUGAGCCUUCUUUACAGCUUAAUAUUGCAUUUCCCUCUGACAUUUAGUUAAGGAAUAGCAUGAUUUCAACAAGAAUUACUGGGUGGGCAAAUCAGUCAGGCACGAAUUAGCAAAGCUCUACUGUAAUUUGAUUUUAAAGGUUAUUUCCUCGUCUCAUUCGAGCUGUGGUCAUGGGUAAAGAGAUGUGGAAGACGAACUAUGCACAUGAUUGUUAUUACUAACCCUUCUUCAUUUUGUUUCUUCAACGGUUCUCUGAGGACUCACCCCACCUUGUCAUAGAUCGAGUGAGCUCUGUUCUUUGCCUAUCAUUGUUCUGUCAGGCAAAACGAAUGGUCAUGUGCAAGCACGCAACUUGUCAGGGGCAAGUCUCUGACUUGAACUUAAAGCAAGCCCCACACAAUGACUCCAUUGUUCAUCGAGGCAGGAGUUUUCUUUUUGACAAAACCUGUGAUGUAUGAGGAAGCAAGUGGAGACACCCCCCCACAAACCCUCUUAAAGACCUCAUGCCGCAAAAAUAUUUAUAUAUUAAACAUUUUCUGAUAGCCUGCGAUCCUCAAGAGCUGUUAGAACAGGAGCAGGAAUCCUUUGUGUAAAGACAGGGCUUUAUGAACCAAACUCCUAUAGCCAAGUUCUUCAGUCAUGUCUUGCAGAAGGGAACUCACGAUCAUGAGGACCAAUGUUGUCUUGUGAACGAGGGUCUCUCCAUGAAGGAAGUACAUGUUCGGGGAGAAACUGCAUUCUCCUCUCUUCUCCGGCCCUUGUUUUACAUACAUUCACUACUGUUCCAUAGUUUAUCAGAGAGUGACACUUUGCCCUCUAUCUGUCGACAAGUCAAGCAUUCGGUCUACUGAAUGCUCUGGCAGUGGGCAAAGGGCUACAGAUGAGAUGGGAGUUUCAUGCUGUAUGAAGAACUGCGUGUGUGAACAUAUAGACCUUUAGGAAGCUCCUUAGGAGAGAGUUAAAGGAGGACAAAAUUAAACUUGAACAGCAUCAACAUGUAAGUCUAGCCAAAGAGAGAAUUGUUUUAAAUUCUGCUCCCAGUUUCUCAAAGGCCAUGGGCACUCUAAAUUCCUUCUGUGAUAAUGCCAGUUUGCUGUUGUUCAUUCUAGGAGAACCAAAGGGUUGAAACAUUGUAGCAGAAAGAAAAUAAAAUGUCUUGGAAAUUCUUAACCUUCCAGGAGAACCCCUACCGGCAGCCAGAUAGGAUCCUCACUAUAAUGCAAAUGGUGUGAAAAUGAUGUAUGUAAUCUACAUGGCUGCACCCAAUACUCCUCGCCGAACCCAGUGGCUUUUCAUCUGUGCCAGCUCUUCCAAGCUACCUCCUCGUUAGUGGGCCCCAGUGCCGUGAACCAGGUAUCCGGGCCACACUGCAGCUUCUGGAGCUGCCUGACUCCAGGCGCUCUCAGGAUGCUGAGCCUUACUUUGAUUUCUAAUAAACUUUUGUCAAGGUGAGGAAGACUGCACUGAAUAAACGUCAUUCUCCAUCUUUCAUACCUAAGCCAUAAUUCACUGGCAGAAGUUUAUGACUAAAUUAAACACAAACCGUCUAGCAAGACAGAAAAGGUGAUGUUUUCUAAGAAGAUUUUACUAAGAUUUUUCUAAGAAGAUAUUACUAUUACUGUUGUUGUUAUUAAACUAUGAUGAUGAAGAAGAAGAUGAUACUAUCAGGGUUCUACCCUGUCUAUCCUGGAACUCACUGUGUAGAAGAGCCUGACCUCAAACUACCAGACAACCACUUGCCUUUGCAUCCUGAACAAUGGGAUCUGUAAGGAUUUUAAAAUGCUUUUCUUAACACUCACCUUCCAGAAAAAGACAGUGAAGGUUUUCAGAUGUCAAGUUAAUGACUUGAAUUUGUAACUGUUGAUAAACUGACGGCCAUGCUGGCAUUGGGAGAAGUGAGUUGAUAUCUACUUAAACCCUACAAAACCAGAGGCUCGAGAAAUGGCUCAGAAAGUGCUUAUCCUUUAAGCAGAGGACUGGAGUUUGGAUCCCCCGAACCCAUGUAAAUGCUGGCUGGGUGCGGCGGCCCUCUGGUAAUUGCAGUGUGCAAAAAGCAGAGACCAGGGAUGUCUAGAGCAAGCUGGCUACCAAGACUAGCGUGUGCCAGUGAAUUCUGCAUACAAGUUAAGGACCCUGCUCAAUAGAUAAAGUAAAGAACAAUCAAUGAAGACUUCCCUUGUCAGCCUUCAGUCUCAACAUGCACAUGCAGACACCUAUGCUCACACACAUGGAAAUAAGCACUCAGAAUUGCACAUAUCGUAUGUACAUGCAAAAUUAAAAAAUAGAACUUUACCCAGAACUGUUCUUUGUUUUUAAAAAGCCAGGACGUUUUUAUUAAUUUUUAUUUGUUUAUUUAUUUAUUUUUAAUGCAUAUUGGUGUUCUGCCUGUUUGUAACCUGUAUCUGAGAGUGUCAGAUCUCCUGGAACUGGAGUUAAAGACAGAUGUGGCUGCCAUGUGGGUACUGGGAAUUAAAACUGGGUCCUUUGGAAGAACACCCCGUACUCUUAACCACUAAGCCACUAAGACAGCACAUUGAAUACACUGUAUUUAUAGACUUAUAGGGUGAAUGGCUUAAAAAGAGAGAAACAGAUAUAUAUCUGGGCUUAGCAUUAAUAGUCCACAAAUCUCCUUGACUGACAGCAACCCCAAUCAGAGCUAGUGUUUAAGGAGGAAAGUGUGUUAGUAUGUGUGUAUGAGGGAGACAGCGGGGAGGGCUAACAUCACAUUUCCUCCAGAAACAAGUUAGAAACAUCUAGAAUGAGAGCUGACCGUUCCUCUUAGACUUCACUAGGCAAUCUUGAGUAGGAAUUUCUGUCUGAAUUGACCAGUAUCAGAACCCAUCCGAGAGAGAGGCCUGAUGAAAGGCAGUGAAAAAUAUCUGUAAAGGAAAAAACGUCUAAAACAGAAAGGUUAUGAAUUCUACAUAGGGCGUUGGGCGCAUUUUCUAGACACUGCUGACAGACAACUGAGAUGACGGAACGUGUUGUGCUGAGGAAGCACGGCAGAUAGCUUCCCUGAAAUCAACAUGAGGCAGCAGGAACCUCUUAAUUAACUCUAGGAUGGAUAAGCACAGACCUUCAUAGAAAACCUCGAAGUGCACAAGGCCACCUUCCUGGAAUUGACCAGCAACAGUGAAAGCUCCAUUUUGUUUGUUCUUUUGUUCUGUUUGUUCGUGAAGGCCUCGAGGGUAUAUUUAAUGCCUGCAUUCGGUCAAUAAGUAUUUACUACGCCAUCGUUAUACAUAAUACUAGGUGGCAAGCAGCCUAAUUUUGUACAACCGAAAUGGUGAAAACAGACAAAUAAACAAACAAACAAAAACAAACAAACAAACAAACAAAAACCCCAAAAACAAAGUCCCAGAUAACUUACCCAGAGAGUUACAGGGUAUCUUUCCAAUUAAUUACUUAAUGUUUUAUUUAUUCACUCUACAUCCAGCUCACUGCCCCCUCCCAGUCACCCCUCCCACAAUCCUUCUCCCUAUUCCCCCCACCCCUUCUCCUCUGAGUGGGUGGGGCCUCCCCUGGGUAUCCCCUAUCCUGGCACCUCAACUCUCUGUAGGGCUAGGCCCAUCUUCUCCCACCAAGGCCAGACAAGGCAGUCCAGCUAGAAGAACCAAUCCCAAGGACCUACUCUUUUUCAAAACAUGCAGCAGCAUAUAAAAAGAGAUAUAUCCUCGGAGAGAAGAUGUUAAUAUUCACAAAGGUGAGUGGGAUCACUACGGGGGCUUCAAAGAGCCCCUGAUAGGGGACAGAGUAACAGCUCAACAGUUAAGGGUGAUUAUUGCUCUAUGGCAGACCAGGUGAGGUUCACAACUCCCACCCUCGCUCACAGCCCCCUCCACAGCUCCAGUCAGUUAGACCCCAGCGCUGGCAUUCAAAGACGCCCACGCACAAGGGGUUUACAUAGACUCAGGCAGGCACAUACACAUUCAAACAUAUAUGCAUAUGCAAAUAUAUACAUAUAUACACAAAUAUACAUGUUUGUAUACACAUAUAUCUGUAUACAUAUUUGUAUACAGACACACAGACACACACAGACACACACACACACACACGAAAAGGGUAACCACUUAUUGUAACUUUACACACAUCUUCCCAUGCUGGUUACUGCCAUGGUUCACAGGACUGUUUAAUUGUUUCCCUCCCUUGGCAGCUCGAAUGAUAUUUUCUGUAACCAUGGUAGCGAGACCAUGGAAAAGAGGCUUUCGGGUCAGAUCCAGGUUGAAUUAUGAGUAUUUGCAGCAACAGGGGUACACCUUCAGACCCCAAGAGAUGACAGAGGGCUACUUACAUAAUCUAUGAUGUUUCAGGAGCACCCGGAUUAUCCUAAACAAUCAGUCAAAAGGAGGAUUUCUUGGGUUUGGUGCUUGGAUUUUCUUCCUUCCCUCCUUUCUUUCUUUUUUUUAAUUACUCUAUGGUUCUUGUGGGGAAUGCUGUCAGCCCAAGUGGCUAAACAUUUUUAAGAAACAUGGAUAUAGGUGCACAUGUAUAUAGGUACACAUGUAUAUAGGUACACUUCUUAAGGCGGAAACGCCUAGAUCCAAUAAACACAUCUACAUCAUGGCUCUUGCAUUUAUGGUUCAAGGAGUCAGCUGUGAAACAGUAUCUCCAAGAAAUGGCUGCAUUAACAAAACUGGAACAAUGGGAAUAUCGAUGCCAUGCUAACAAGAAGGGGGAAAAUCCACAAGGUUCCAUCCCUAGACAAAGAACUCCCAGCAACUAAUACUAGGUGAUGGAGAGGUAGCCUCUCCCAGGGAUGACGCUCCUACGGGCUGUCUAAUACAGAAUGGUCAGCCCUAAAACUAUCCACACACAAACAACAGAAAGACUCAGUGAGUCAUAUUUAUUAACAUGUAUAUGUGCACACACAUGUACAUGUAUAACAAUAGUUAAAGAAAACAGCUAUUAACGUGAGGGGUCCAUGGAAGGGGUUUGAGGGAAGGUAUGUGGGAGGGGCUGGAAAGGGAGGAACAAAAGUGAAGUCAUUCUAUUUCAACAGCAUAUUUUAAAAAGGGAACACAAAAUAAGAUAGACAGAUUAAAAAAAUUCUACUAAGGGUCAGUAAGAAAUUGAGAUAAACCUGAAGUAAUUUUAUAUAACAUAAGUUCAGUUAUGUAAGACAGUGAGAAAGACUUGAAACUAUUAUAAAAAUCACCUAACAGAUUAGUUCGGAGAACCUAUAUGCUUAGCUUUAGUCGUUAUCACAGUCCAGAGUCACCUGACAGCCUGUGGACACCUCUCUCUCUCUCUCUCUCUCUCUCUGUCUUGAUUAUAGAAAUCGAAGUGGAGGGCUGGUGAGAUGGCUCAGUGGUUAAGAGCACUGACUGCUCUUCCAGAGGUCCUGAGUUCAAAUCCCAGCAACCACAUGGUGGCUCACAACCAUCUGUAAUGGAAUCCGAUGCCCUCUUCUGGUGUGUCUGAAGAAAGGGACAGUGAACUUAUAUAAAUAAAUAAAUAAAUAAAUAAAUAAAUAAAUAAAUAAAUCUUUAAAAAAAAAAAGAAA